rnacentral:rRNA from 1 species
GUGCUUUCUGUGAAGCCGGGCUGUAAGGCAUCCGGUGGAGAGAUCACUAGUGAGAAUGAUGACAUGAGUAGCGACAAAGAGUGUGAGAGACACUCUCGCCGAAAGUCCAAGGGUUCCUGCUUAAAGCUAAUCUGAGCAGGGUAAGCCGACCCCUAAGUCGAGGCCGAAAGGCGUAGACGAUGGGAACCAGGUUAAUAUUCCUGGGCCAGGAGAUGGUGACGGAUUGUGAAGGUUGUUCCUCCUUAUUGGAUUGGAGGGGCCGCUGAUCAGUCCCUGGAAAUAGCCCUCCAUAAGACCGUACCCUAAACCGACACAGGUGGACUGGUAGAGCAUACCAAGGCGCUUGAGAGAACUAUGUUGAAGGAACUCGGCAAAAUACCUCCGUAAGUUCGCGAGAAGGAGGCCCAGUUUCUACGCAAGUAUUGGCUGGGGGCACAAACCAGGGGGUGGCGACUGUUUACUAAAAACACAGGGCUCUGCGAAGUCGCAAGACGACGUAUAGGGUCUGACGCCUGCCCGGUGCCUGAAGGUUAAAAGGAGGGGUGAGAGCUCUGAAUUGAAGCCCAGGUAAACGGCGGCCGUAACUAUAACGGUCCUAAGGU